ensembl:lncRNA
AUGAAAAAUUCACAGAGACGAGGAGCUGGAAGAAAUCGACAUUUCUCCUGCGACUUUCACUUCGGGGAGAGCAAGAGAAACCAGCUGACACGCAAACAACGAGACCCUCAAGGACAAAGUCAGACGCCUGUUUGCUUCCGUUGCUCAAGUGCUGAAAACAAGAUGUUAGAGGUGGGCGGUGUGACCAAAAUCUUAAAUCACGCCAUGAGUAAUUUUAUAUCGCACUAACAGUGGGAUAAACAGUAUAGUAAGCAGUCUGUACAUGCAGUUCACUUCUACUUGAUUUAUGUAGUUUGCACUGAUGGCAUCAGGUUUUUUACGCCUGUUAUCGUCCCUCCAUUGCUCUUAUUUGCCACAUCACACACAAUCCAGUCAGGCCCUGUGUUUUCAUGGAUGGCGGUUUGCUCUGACAGGUUAUGUUUAGAGCUGAGUAAGUGGGCACUUGUGCGGCAUAAGCAGAAAGCAGCACUGCUUUAACAGCUGUCAGCGAGCACACAGCCUCUCCUCUCCUUCACACUUCCUCCGACAGUAAUGCACCCGGAAACGGAGAAAAGCAGCUGCCUGUCUGACCAUAAAGUCGGGAGCAGGGGCGUUAAUUGUUUCCCCACUGAGAAAGAAUUAGUUCAGGCCAACCACCAGCUCAAACUCCAGGGAGAAGCGAGAUGGGUGGUGGGCCGUUUUGGCAGAGCCGGAGAGGAGAGUGGGGGCAGGCCCAGCUGAAACUCGAUUAGACAGUGUGGGGAAGGCGUGGAGAUUUCGUUCCAGGAUGUCCACACACAUGCCCAAUUCAAUCUCAGGUUACUCCAACAACAACGGAAAGCAAGAAAGAUAAAUAACCAACCCAGACAAAGAUAAAGAGUCUGUAUAGGUGGUGAAUGACUCCAUAUUAUCUAUUAUAAAACAAAGUUCCUGCACUCAGAUCUGUAAAGUAGCUGCUAAAUGCAACCGUACAGCAGCUGGAUU